UGUUCACAGGAUAGCUCAGCCGGUAGAGCAUGACACUCUUAAUCUUGGGGUUGUGGGUUCAAGGCCAAGUUGGGCAA